GGAGGCCUUAGCUUAAUUAAAGUGUCUGGUUUGCAGUCAGGAGUUGUAUUUUAAAGUAUUACAGGUCUU
rnacentral:tRNA from 1 species